GCUGCUUCAUAUUUCCCUCUACAAUUAUCCAUCAGCAGUGAACCUAAAUGUUUUGCUGCUUCACCAAACUACCCCCACUAUCAUCUCAAUUGCAGAGAGCAACCUGUUGUGGCAAGUUCGGACACACCUUUAAAUGGUGUGUUCAUGUCGGACACAUGUAUCAGAUAUUGACACGUGUAAAACACUCGAAUGACACGCAUCGUUAAAAUGUUCAAUUGAAUGAGUCAUAGGAAGUAUCUUUCUGCCACAAAGAAAUAACUCAACUAUACUUAUUUACAUAAAUUUUGAUAAUCAACUUAUAUAAUUCAUAAUUCAUAAUCAACUUAUUUACAUGUGUCUAAGUGUUCGUGUCAGUGUAUGUGUACAUACAAGACCUUGGAAAUGUACCUCUAUAGGUUUUGUUUCCGUAAAGGAAGAAAUUGGCUUGUGUGGUUUCCUUCCCCCUUGAACUAAAUACUUGUCUGUAUGCUGUGUCAUGUUAGUGAGUUUUUUUUUUCCUUGUUACAUUCUAUAAGGCAGUGGAUGCCACCUCUUAUGGAUCUAUCUUCAUAUGCUUAAGGAUCUGUUGCCACCAACAUUGUUGCAUACAUGUUAAAUGCCUUUGUUUUUGUAGAUCUCAUGCAGUCAUACUUGACUACUUUGUUUUCAUGCUGGCAUCAUCUCUGCCUCUCAGCCUGCCUUGGCCAUGAUUUCAUUAAUAAAAGCUUGCAUAUUUACCAAGAAAGUUAAAGAAUUUCCAUUUCCCACUACUUCACCAAUCAAUAAAUGGAAGGCAAAAAGAUUUGGUUGCAUAACUUUAGUGAAUAUAAAGUGUUUCUGGCAUGAGGGUAAUAUUUCCAAAAAGGUUAGCAGGGAUGGUAGAAUACGAAAAGAGCAUUCAUAAUUUGUACCUUGUAGAGUGUGUCACAUGAAAUUUCCUGGCAACUCUCUCACUCAAGCUGGUUCGAUUGGAAAUUUGAACUCCUG
rnacentral:lncRNA from 1 species